rnacentral:miRNA from 1 species
UGUCUUGAACAACUGCUUAUG